UGAGGAGAUGAUUGUACUUGCUCUCUGCUG
rnacentral:piRNA from 1 species